GUUUCAAGUGCAAAUAUAGCAUGGAUUUCUCCUGACACAAUGUCUUGGAUUAGGAGCCCUUCCAAGAGUCAAAGAGGUGAAUUAGCUCUGGAUAUUGUUCUCGAGAAAGAAGCUGUUAAGCAAAGGGGAGAUGCUUGGAGGAUUCUCAUGGAUUCUUGUCUUCCUGUCAUCCAUCUGAUAGACACUACGCGCUCCAUCCCAUAUGCAAUAAAGCAAGUCCAAGAAC
rnacentral:misc_RNA from 1 species